AACAAACGCUGGCGGCGUGUCUUAAGCAUGCAAGUUGAGCGGCAAGGAGGAGAGAUCCUCCCUAGAGCGGCGGACUGGUGAGUAACGCGUGGGUAAUCUAUCGUAGGCAUGGGGAUAGUCACUAGAAAUAGUGGGUAAUACCGAAUACGUUCCAUGAGGGAGUAUUCAUGGAAGAAAGGGUGCUACGGCACUGGCCUUAGGUGAGCUCGCGUCCCAUUAGCUAGUUGGUGAGGUAAAGGCCCACCAAGCCGAUGACGGGUAGCCGGCCUGAGAGGGUGACCGGCCCGAGGGGCACUGAGAUACGGGUCCCACUCCUACGGGAGGCAGCAGGCUAGAAAUUUGGGCAAUGGGGGAAACCCUGACCCAGCCAUGCCGCGUGCAGGAUGAAGGCCCUAGGGUUGUAAACUGCUUUUAGCCGGGAAUAAACACCCGUUUUAUAACGGGCCCGAAGGUACCGGCUGAAUAAGCAUCGGCUAACUCCGUGCCCAGCAGCCGACGGUAAAAGUCACGUCG
rnacentral:rRNA from 1 species